rnacentral:rRNA from 1 species
AUUGAACGCUGGCGGCAGGCUUAACACAUGCAAGUCGAGCGGUAGCACAGGAGAGCUUGCUCUCUGGGUGACGAGCGGCGGACGGGUGAGUAAUGUCUGGGAAACUGCCUGAUGGAGGGGGAUAACUACUGGAAACGGUAGCUAAUACCGCAUAACGUCGCAAGACCAAAGAGGGGGACCUUCGGGCCUCUUGCCAUCAGAUGUGCCCAGAUGGGAUUAGCUAGUAGGUGGGGUAAUGGCUCACCUAGGCGACGAUCCCUAGCUGGUCUGAGAGGAUGACCAGCCACACUGGAACUGAGACACGGUCCAGACUCCUACGGGAGGCAGCAGUGGGGAAUAUUGCACAAUGGGCGCAAGCCUGAUGCAGCCAUGCCGCGUGUGUGAAGAAAGCCUUCGGGUUGUAAAGCACUUUCAGCGAGGAGGAAGGUGGUGAACUUAAUACGUUCAUCAAUUGACGGUACUCGCAGAAGAAGCACCGGCUAACUCCGGGCCAGCAGCCGCGGUAAAUACGAGGGUGCAAGCGUUAAUCCAAAUUACUGGGGCGUAAGCGCACGCGGCGGUUUGUUAAGUCAGAUGUGAAAUCCCCGGGCUCAACCUGGGAACUGCAUUUGAAACUGGCAAGCUAGAGUCUCGUAGAGGGGGGUAGAAUUCCAGGUGUAGCGGUGAAAUGCGUAGAGAUCUGGAGGAAUACCGGUGGCGAAGGCGGCCCCCUGGACGAAGACUGACGCUCAGGUGCGAAAGCGUGGGGAGCAAACAGGAUUAGAUACCCUGGUAGUCCACGCUGUAAACGAUGUCGAUUUGGAGGUUGUGCCCUUGAGGCGUGGCUUCCGGAGCUAACGCGUUAAAUCGACCGCCUGGGGAGUACGGCCGCAAGGUUAAAACUCAAAUGAAUUGACGGGGGCCCGCACAAGCGGUGGAGCAUGUGGUUUAAUUCGAUGCAACGCGAAGAACCUUACCUACUCUUGACAUCCAGAGAACUUUCCAGAGAUGGAUUGGUGCCUUCGGGAACUCUGAGACAGGUGCUGCAUGGCUGUCGUCAGCUCGUGUUGUGAAAUGUUGGGUUAAGUCCCGCAACGAGCGCAACCCUUAUCCUUUGUUGCCAGCGGUUCGGCCGGGAACUCAAAGGAGACUGCCAGUGAUAAACUGGAGGAAGGUGGGGAUGACGUCAAGUCAUCAUGGCCCUUACGAGUAGGGCUACACACGUGCUACAAUGGCAUAUACAAAGAGAAGCGACCUCGCGAGAGCAAGCGGACCUCAUAAAGUAUGUCGUAGUCCGGAUUGGAGUCUGCAACUCGACUCCAUGAAGUCGGAAUCGCUAGUAAUCGUAGAUCAGAAUGCUACGGUGAAUACGUUCCCGGGCCU